CCAAGAGCUGCCGACAGAAUAAAAAAACCCUAGUUGCUCUAUAGCUCUCUAUAUAGCGAUGUGAUUUUGUCAUAGCCGCUGAGUGACUCCUACCUUCUAACCCGGAAGCCCACUCUUUUCGUUUCUAGAGAUCCGAGCUUUCCUACUUCCAUACAUAUCAUCAUCUACUGAGAUCUGAAGUUAGUAAUGGGAGGAAAUGGAGAGGGAGUUAGGAUUAUCGGAAGGUUAUGGGUGGGUGAGUGGAUAAGAUGACUAAUUGAUUGAUUUUCAUGGUUAGUAUUAUCUUACCCACACCACCCAUUCCAUAGGUUUCCGAUUAUUCCUCCCUCUCCUCGUCGCCUCUGCUCUGUUAUUCUUCAUCAAUCGCAUGAGCUUUCAACUCUUAUGGAGGUCAAGUGGUGAUUAGGUAUUUCUUCAGAUUUAUCAACAAAAUUGCCAUUCUAUUGAAUGUUUUAGCUAUUUACCAUUAGCUUUAGCUUGAAUUUAUUCAAUGCCAUAGAAAUUACUAUUUGAUUUGUUCUGCAUUCAUGUUACAAAUAAUUAAAACAUUAUUAAAUAUAAAAUACCAAAGAAAGUAUAUGUUGAAUUUUGAAAAUUAAAUAAUUUCACAUAGAUCACUGUCCUUUAAAUCACUGUCCUUCCCACUAUGUUGCUAUUGGGUUCUUUAAGGAUAAAUGAAAUUAAGUGAUAAUGAAUAAUUAUUUUGUGGAUGUCUGCAAGAAAUAAAUGAGAAAUUAUUUUUUUGAGAUAAUGUAGAACAGUUCUUCAUUCUCUGUAUUUAUGCCUUCAUCUCAAGACAUGGUAACAGUUAUUUAGGCAACAGUUGUAUCUCUCGGUUUGAUUCAAGCUGCUUUUGGCAGUGAGCUUGUUUAAAAAGAUCAUCCUCUUUUGUCUCUUUGAGCUUCGGCACUAUAGCUGUUUUGGCGUUCUCCCUAUAUGUGUUCAUGAAGGAUCCCAUGGCGUUACUGUGAUAAUAGAGUGGGUUUCUCAUGGGGUGGAUUUGUUUUCUUAUGGGUCGGGUUCUGGAUUGUGUUGUUUUUAUUUCUUUUGGAGCCCCGAGCCCUCUGAAAGUAAUUUGUUGGUUUGAUUCUAUGGAUUUUUAGGUUUAUUUU